GACAAGAUUCGCUAUGAGAGCCUGAC
rnacentral:piRNA from 1 species